rnacentral:tRNA from 1 species
GCCUGGGUGGCUCAGUCGGUUAAGCGUCUGACUUCGGCUCAGGUCAUGAUCUCACGGUCUGUGAGUUCGAGCCCCGCGUCGGGCU